AUUGUUCGCGUUUUCACUAAUUGUCGAAUAACAAACUCAUACUCAUCCGCAGCUUCCUCUGCUGAUACUGAAUCGUUGAUCGAAUGCACAUGACUGGGCACAAUGGGCACCUGCUAACAUAUGUAAUGUGUAUAAUGACAAAAGUUUAGAUGAAUGCCAUCAAAUCACCAAAAAGGAGAAGCAUAAAAAUAAUUAUGCUGAUUCACAUUCUCAGAUGAAAGCCAUGAGAUGAAAAGUUACUAAACUAGAACUUUCUAUCUUCGAAAAGAUGCAUCCUCCUGAAUCUCUCAAGUCUCCUAUGUGUUUUGAUUCUUUUGAAGUGCCAUAAUUGCCAUGAUUCCACCAAUGGACAAAUUGAACUGCCAUGGCAAUUUAU
rnacentral:lncRNA from 1 species